rnacentral:rRNA from 1 species
AUUGAACGCUGGCGGAAUGCUUUACACAUGCAAGUCGAACGGCAGCACGGGGGCAACCCUGGUGGCGAGUGGCGAACGGGUGAGUAAUACAUCGGAACGUGCCCAGUCGUGGGGGAUAACGUAGCGAAAGUUACGCUAAUACCGCAUACGAUCUACGGAUGAAAGCGGGGGACCGUAAGGCCUCGCGCGAUUGGAGCGGCCGAUGUCAGAUUAGGUAGUUGGUGAGGUAAAGGCUCACCAAGACGACGAUCUGUAGCUGGUCUGAGAGGACGAGAAGCCACACUGGGACUGAGACACGGCCCAGAAUCCUACGGGAGGCAGCAGUGGGGAAUUUUGGACAAUGGGCGCAAGCCUGAUACAGCCAUUCCGCGUGCAGAACGAAGGCCUUCGGGUUGUAAACUGCUUUUGUACGGAACGAAAAGGCUCUGGUUAAUACCUGGGGCUCAUGACGGUACCGUAAGAAUAAGCACCGGCUAACUACGUGCCAGCCGCCGCUUAA